rnacentral:rRNA from 1 species
GUGGGGAAUCUUCCGCAAUGGACGAAAGUCUGACGGAGCGACGCCGCGUGAGUGAAGAAGGCCUUCGGGUCGUAAAGCUCUGUCAUCAGGGACGAACGGCCGGUGGAGUGGAAAGCCACCGGAUUGACGGUACCUGAGAAGGAAGCCACGGCUAACUACGUGCCAGCAGCCGCGGUAAUACGUAGGUGGCAAGCGUUGUCCGGAAUUAUUGGGCGUAAAGCGCGCGCAGGUGGGAUCUUAAGUCCAUUUUUAAAGUUCGGAGCUCAACUCCGUGAUGGGAUGGAAACUGGGAUUCUUGAGUACCGGAGAGGAAAGCGGAAUUCCCCGUGUAGCGGUGAAAUGCGUAGAUAUGGGGAGGAACACCAGUGGCGAAGGCGGCUUUCUGGACGGUGUCUGACACUGAGGCGCGAAAGCCAGGGGAGCGAACGGGAUUAGAAACCCUAGUAGUCC